GGUGGGAUGCAGAGGGUGUGGAGAUGUGGUGCUCGAGGAGGCUCUGGCUCCACUCUCCCCUUUCCUGCCUUCAGCUCUGCCCUUGUCUCCUCGCAGGGUCCUCAAGGUGAGCCAGGUCCCCCAGGACAGCAGGGUAACCCAGGUGCUCAGGUAAGAAGAAACCUCCUUUUGGAUGGGUAGGAAAAAGGAAUGAUAAUUUUGAACGAGCUUCUCUCCCCCGCCAGAGUCGGGACCAGCAAUAAGUGGAUUUGCUGGGAAUUGGCUUGACGAUACAUUGCUGGCCCAAAAAUCUUCCAGAAAAUGCUCCCAGUUUCAGGUCCCCACGGGUCUCACCUGGCUUUUGCUGCCGCGAUGCAAAGCCAAACCCAGGUCCAAGCAGUCUCUUCUUCAGCCGAGCUUCAUCUUGUGGCUCAUGUCUGACUUCUAGCAUCCCACGGUCCGGUUGCUCUGGAGCCAGCUGUGUAAUACAGAUGUCCGAGCCUUGCUAUCAGUCUUCUCCAUGGCUCCCACCAGGUCUCACUCCUCACAGCAUCCCUGUUUCCAUCCUGGGAAUGAGCCUGGCUGCCCACGGCGGAGCGGUCGGUGCAGCUCUCCAGAGGAGACAUGCUGUGCAAAAAUGAAAUUUUAUCGUCUCUCUCAAGACAUUUUGAGAAUGAAUGGAGCUGGGGAGAUCCCCAGCCAUCGCAGAGACUAGAAUGAUGCUGAGCUGAGGCACUGCCAAAAUGUAUUUGGAAUGAAUAACUUGUUCCUUAAUGACCCUCAUUUUUUUUCUUUUCGUAGGGUCUUCCAGGUCCACAAGGCGCAAUCGGUCCCCCAGGAGAGAAAGGACCGCUGGGCAAACCUGGUCUUCCUGGCAUGCCUGGUGCAGAUGGUCCUCCGGUAAGUCAUCCUUUCCUGGGUUUCUGCUUGGCACCAGGGCUGUGGGGGCCUCAUCCUGCAUCCAUCUACCCAUGGGGUGCACCAUGGGCUGGUGAAAUGUGUGAGCCAGCAGCCUGCCCAGGCUUUGGCUGGGUGGAAGGGUCUGAGUCC
rnacentral:lncRNA from 1 species